UAAAAUAGAGCUUGAAAUUAAGUUAUUCACUUACAUUGAAUAGAUUCUUUAAAUAUUUAAAGAUAUUUUAA
rnacentral:tRNA from 1 species